rnacentral:rRNA from 1 species
CCUACGGGAGGCAGCAGUGAAGAAUAUUGGUCAAUGGGCGCGAGUCUGAACCAGCCAAGUAUCGUGAAGGAUGACUGCCCUACGGGUUGUAAACUUCUUUUAUAAAGGAAUAAAGUGAGGCACGUGUGCCUUUUUGUAUGUACUUUAUGAAUAAGGAUCGGCUAACUCCGUGCCAGCAGCCGCGGUAAUACGGAGGAUCCGAGCGUUAUCCGGAUUUAUUGGGUUUAAAGGGAGCGUAGAUGGGUUGUUAAGUCAGUUGUGAAAGUUUGCGGCUCAACCGUAAAAUUGCAAUUGAUACUGGCAGCCUUGAGUACAGUUGAGGUAGGCGGAAUUCGUGGUGUAGCGGUGAAAUGCUUAGAUAUCACGAAGAACUCCGAUUGCGAAGGCAGCCUACUAAGCUGCCACUGACAUUGAUGCUCGAAAGUGUGGGUAUCAAACAGGAUUAGAUACCCUUGUAGUC